rnacentral:tRNA from 4 species
GCCGCCUUGGCGCAGUCCGGUAGCGCAGUGCUCUUGUAAAGCGAAGGUCGUCGGUUCGAAUCCGACAGGCGGCUCCC